rnacentral:rRNA from 1 species
AUUGAACGCUGGCGGCAUGCCUUACACAUGCAAGUCGAACGGCAGCGGGGGAGAAGCUUGCUUUUCCUGCCGGCGAGUGGCGAACGGGUGAGUAAUACAUCGGAACGUGCCCUGUAGUGGGGGAUAACUAGUCGAAAGAUUAGCUAAUACCGCAUACAACCUGAGGGUGAAAGUGGGGGACCGCAAGGCCUCAUGCUAUAGGAGCGGCCGAUGUCUGAUUAGUUAGUUGGGGGGGUAAAGGCCUACCAAGGCGACGAUCAGUGGCUGGUCUGAGAGGACGAUCAGCCACACUGGGACUGAGACACGGCCCAGACUCCUACGGGAGGCAGCAGUGGGGAAUUUUGGACAAUGGGCGAAAGCCUGAUCCAGCAAUGCCGCGUGUGUGAAGAAGGCCUUCGGGUUGUAAAGCACUUUUGUCCGGAAAGAAAUGGCUCUGGUUAAUACCUGGGGUCGAUGACGGUACCGGAAGAAUAAGGACCGGCUAACUACGUGCCAGCCGCCGCGGUAA